rnacentral:rRNA from 1 species
GAUCCUGGAUCAGGACGAACGCUGGCGGCGUGCUUAACACAUGCAAGUCGAACGAGGUUGCCCUUUGUGAAUCCUUCGGGAGGAACUGUGGGUAUACCGAGUGGCGGACGGGUGAGUAACGCGUGAGCAACCUGCCCUGCAACGGGGGACAACAGUUGGAAACGACUGCUAAUACCGCAUGAGACCACGAAACCGCAUGGUUUUUGAGGUAAAAGGAUUUAUUCGAUGCAGGAUGGGCUCGCGUCCCAUUAG